UACGUAGGUGACAAGCGUUGUCCGGAUUUACUGGGCGUAAAGAGCGCGCAGGCGGUCGUUCAAGUCGAGGGUGAAAGCCCCCGGCUCAACUGGGGAGGGUCAUUCGAUACUGAUCGACUCGAAGGCAGGAGAGGGUAGUGGAAUUCCCGGUGUAGUGGUGAAAUGCGUAGAUAUCGGGAGGAACACCAGUGGCGAAGGCGACUACCUGGCCUGUUCUUGACGCUGAGGCGCGAAAGCUAGGGGAGCAAACGGG
rnacentral:rRNA from 1 species